UGAGGGAAUAUUUGGGUCAAUGGGCGAGAGCCUGAACCAGCCAAGUAGCGUGCGGGACGACGGCCCUAUGGGUUGUAAACCGCUUUUGAUUGGGAACAAAGAGCGCCACGUGUGGUGCGUUGCGUGUACCUUUCGAAUAAGCAUCGGCUAAUUCCGUGCCAGCAGCCGCGGUAAUACGGAAGAUGCGAGCGUUAUCCGGAUUUUAUUGGGUUUAAAGGGAGCGUAGGCGGGCUGUUAAGUCAGCGGUCAAAUGUCAGGGCCCAACCUUGGCAUGCCGUUGAUACUGGCGGCCUUGAGUUCACACAAGGAAGGUGGAAUUCGUCGUGUAG
rnacentral:rRNA from 1 species